UGCAGGCUGCAACCCGCCUGUAUGAAGUUGGAAUCGCUAGUAAUCGCGGAUCAGCAUGCCGCGGUGAAUACGUUCCCGGGCCUUGUACACACCGCCCGUCACACCAUGAGAGUCGGGAACACCCGAAGUCCGUAGCCUAACCGCAAGGGGGGGCGCGGCCGAAGGUGGGUUCGAUAAUUGGGGUGAAGUCGUAACAAGGUACC
rnacentral:rRNA from 1 species